rnacentral:rRNA from 1 species
AACGAACGCUGGCGGCAUGCCUAACACAUGCAAGUCGAACGAAGGCUUCGGCCUUAGUGGCGCACGGGUGAGUAACGCGUAGGAAACUGCCUAUUGGUGGGGAAUAACGACGGGAAACUGUCGCUAAUACCGCAUAAGCCCUUCGGGGGAAAGAUUUAUCGCCGAUAGAUGUGCCCGCGUCCGAUUAGCUAGUUGGUGAGGUAAUGGCUCACCAAGGCGACGAGCGGUAGCUGGUCUGAGAGGAUGAUCAGCCACACUGGGACUGAGACACGGCCCAGACUCCUACGGGAGGCAGCAGUGGGGAAUAUUGGACAAUGGGCGAAAGCCUGAUCCAGCAAUGCCGCGUGAGUGAUGAAGGCCUUAGGGUUGUAAAGCUCUUUCGGGUGGGACGAUGAUGACGGUACCACCAGAAGAAGCCCCGGCUAACUUCGUGCCAGCAGCCGCAGUAA